rnacentral:lncRNA from 1 species
GAAAAAUAUCAUCGGUAAUUCCGUCGGUAAUUAUUUAAAAACAUUUAAAAAAAUCCAUUUUAUAAAAUUAUAAAAUAAUUAAAUUAACAUAAAUCAACACUCUAUAAUAUAAAAAAUGAAGUUGCAAUUGCUAAAAAUUUAAAAAUCCUAUAAAUAAAUCAACUAAAAAUUGAUCUUAUAUGGAAAAAAAAUCUCACAACAACAUUUAUACAAUUA